rnacentral:pre_miRNA from 1 species
AAUAAGUGUAGUUUUGCAUUGUUCAUAUCCAACGUUUGACCGUUAAUUUUUUAUAUUAGAUGAUAAAACAUGAAUAAUACUUUAUGUGUAACUAUUUUUUUUAAAUUCUUUAUAUUUUUUUUCAAAUAAGACGGAUGAUCAAUCGUUGAACACGGAUACCCACGAAUGCACUUAUU